AUUGAACGCUGGCGGCAGGCCUAACACAUGCAAGUCGAGCGGAUGAAGGGAGCUUGCUCCUGGAUUCAGCGGCGGACGGGUGAGUAAUGCCUAGGAAUCUGCCUGGUAGUGGGGGAUAACGUCCGGAAACGGGCGCUAAUACCGCAUACGUCCUGAGGGAGAAAGUGGGGGAUCUUCGGACCUCACGCUAUCAGAUGAGCCUAGGUCGGAUUAGCUAGUUGGUGGGGUAAAGGCCUACCAAGGCGACGAUCCGUAACUGGUCUGAGAGGAUGAUCAGUCACACUGGAACUGAGACAGGGUCCAGACUCCUACGAGAGGCAGCAGUGGGGAAUAUUGGACAGUGGUCGAGAGCCUGAUCCAGCCAGGCCGCGUGUGUGAAGAAGGUCUUCGGAUCGUAAAGCACUUUUAGUUGGGAUGAAGGGCAGUAAGUUAAUACCUUGCUGGUUUGACGUUACUAACAGAAUAAGCACCGGCUAACUUCGUG
rnacentral:rRNA from 1 species